rnacentral:rRNA from 1 species
GCAAGUCGAGCGGAGAUGAGGUGCUUGCACCUUAUCUUAGCGGCGGACGGGUGAGUAAUGCUUAGGAAUCUGCCUAUCCCUGGGGGACAGCAUACCCAAAGGAAUGCUUAUACCUCAUACGUCCUACAGGAGAAAGCGGGGGAUCUUCGGACCUUGCGCUAAUAGAUGAGCCUAAGUCGGAUUACCUUUUUGGUGGGGUAAAGGCCUACCACCGCCACGAUCUGUAUCGGGUCUGAGAGGAUGAUCCGCCACACUGGGACUGAGACUCGGCCCAGACUCCUACUGGAGGCAGCAGUGGGGAAUAUUGGACUAUGGGGGGAACCCUGAUCCUGCCAUGCCGCGUGUGUGAAGAAGGCCUUAGGGUUGUAAAGCACUUUACCCUAGGAGGAGGCUACUGACCCUAAUACUCUUGCAUAGUGGACAUUACUCUCCCAAUAAACUCCGGAUAACUCUGUUCCAUCCCCCGCGGUAAUACAAAGGGUGCGGUCGUUAAUCUGAUUUACUGGACGUAAAGCGUGCGUAGGCGGCUUUUUAAUUCGAAUGUGAAAUCCCCGACCUUAACUUGAGAAUUGCAUUCGAUACUGUGCAGCUUCACUAUGGGAGAGGAUGGGAAAAUUCCAGGUGUAGCGGUGAAAUGCGUAGAGUUCUGGAGGAAUACCGCUGGCGAAGGCAGCCAUUUGCCCUAAUACCGACGAUGAGGUACGAAAGCAUGGGGAGCAAACAGGAUAAGACACCGUGGUACUCCAUCCCGUAAAUGAUGUCUACUAGCCGUGGGGGCCUUUGCGGCUUUAGUGGCGCAGCUAACGUGAUAAUUAGACCGCCUGGGGAUUACUGUCGCAAGUCUAAAUCUCAAUGUGAAUUGACGGGGGCCCGCACAAGCGGUGGAGCAUGUGGUUUAAUUCGAUGCAACGAGAAGAACCUUCCCUGGCCUUGAUAUACUAGAAACUUUCGAGAGAUGGAUUGGCGCCUUCGGGAAUCUAGACACAGGUGCUGCAUGGCUGUUGUCAGCUUGUGUCGUGAGAUUUUGGGUUAAGUCCCGCAACGAGCGCAACCCUUUUCCUUACUUGCCAGCAUUUCGGAUGGGAACUUUAAGGAUACUGCCAGUGACAAACUGGAGGAAGGCGGGGACGACGUCAAGUCAUCAUGGCCCUUACGGCCAGGGCUCCCCCCUUGCUCCAAUGGUCGGUCCAAAGGGUUGAUACCCAGGGAGGUGAUGCUAAUCCCAAAAACCCGAUCGUAGUCCGGAUUGGAGUCUGCAACUGGACUCCAUGAAGUCGGAAUCGCUGGUAAUCGCGGAUCAGAAUGCCGCGGUGAAUACGUUCCCGGGCCUUGUACACACCGCCCGUCACACCAUGGGAGUUUGUUGCACCAGAAGUAGGUAGUCUAACCGCAAGGAGGACGCUACCACGGUGUGGCCGAUGACUGGGGUGAAGUCGUAACAAGGUAGCCGUAA